UUAGGUGGAGGAUGCUUCCCCCAGUAAUUUGAAUGAGCUAAUUCUGCCAUGUCCACUAAACAGUCACACCACCACCAGUUUGCUUGUCAUCAUCUUGGAUGGAUAUGAAUGUUCACUGACAAAGCUGAAAUGCCUCUCCAUCUUAAAUGCCUUCCACUAGAGCUUCGACAACAAUACAAAAGAAUCCGCCAACAAGGCUGGACUCAAAAGGAAAUAUUGAACUAUUUUUUUCCCCAGAAGUCUAUGCAUCUCUGCCUGUAUUACUAUUUAAAGUUCUGUUUCUGUGCAGGGAUUCAGAGAAUUUGCAAUUGAGUUCUGUUGCAGAUUCUCCUACUGAUUUACUGACUGCCAAGUCUCCUAACUCCUCCAGCGGUUCAAAAGGAAUCAUCUUUUGCCUCGGCGUAAACCCCGGAGCCGUCAGAAACAUCAAUAAUGGAUUAUGCCGAUGAUCAGGAAACACCUUCCAGGACUUUUAUAUUAUGGACCCGGUGGGAACGGGAAGAAGACCGGAUACGAUGUGAUGAAGGAGGGGGUCUACCAUUCAUCUCCCUUUCCACAGUCCCCUCCAGCACCCAAAGCAAGGAUCCAAAGACGUGGCCAGGAUUCUCCGUUGGGAAACCCAAGGAGCACUUUAAUGGCUCCUCUGUUCAAAAAUAAUAUUUCGAGGGGAACUAUGAAUUACCCUGAGAGACCCCUAUUAUUUUUAUAGGUGAAGUCAGAGAUUAAAAUUUCCGCUGUCACUGUGGAAAGGUGAAAUGGAAGAACUGAGAAUUAAGAACUCAUUAAUACACUAAGAGCAAAGCAGA